UGACUUAGCGUGCGUGUGAAUGACUUGCGUGCUCGCGCCAAGAAGGUGGUUCUCCCAGGGUGAGGUCCAGCCAUUGUGCUCUGGUUGUGCUGACCCCUGCGAAUUCCCCAAAUGUGGGAAUCUCGACUGCAUAAUUUCUAGUAGUGGGGGACUGCGUUUGCGCUCUUCCCUG